UGCCUCACCCUCACUGUAUUUUCUAGCUACUUUCCGAUAUAUCUCAUCUUCUUCAUUUCCAAAAUGUUUGACCAAUCUAUUUCUUCCCAGAGAUAUUUCUUGACAGGCUGACUGACAUAAGCAAACUGUGUCUGAGAGAGUGAAAUCACUUGCCUGGAAUCACAUGUCAAGUGUCUUGAGCACUAAAAGCUUCUGGCUAUCCUGUACACUGUGAAGCUUUUCACUGGCAGCUUGGGAUUAAUGGACAUUGUCUUCUUGCACUCACUCAUACUUCAUGAAUAUUUCCUGCUGAACAAUCUUCUUGAAGAUGACUACAUGCCGAUGAAUCGAGAAUAUGGUGGGGAGUGAAAAAUUAAAAAAAAAAAGAGCACUAAGAAAAUACCAACAUAAAAAGGGGAAAGAGACAGCAAUGGAAAGGCUCUUGCCUGAGGAGGAGAAGGUCAUGUUGUUUAGAUGACCGAAGGUGCCCUGAAGGUUGAUGUGGCCCAUGAACCUAUUUGGGAAUUUGACAACAACAUGAGAAACAACAAAGCUAAUGAUGUAGCACCGUCCAACCAAGACUCUGUGGUUUUAGCUCUUAAAUUUAACAUCAUAAAGACACUCUUUGUUCUGAGAGGAAUUCCAGUAGCACCUUUGUAAAUCAAGUAGCAAGAGGGAAUAAAAAGUUUGCUACACUGAAACAAAGUCUAAAUAAAUGUAUUGUCUUCCAUUUCUGGUUAUAAAGCCUAAUGCAUUAUCAACAUUAUUUGCAUUUUCACAAUAUUAAUGAGUUAAGUACGUGACUUUU